GACGAACGCUGGCGGCGUGCCUAAUACAUGCAAGUUGAGCGCUGAAGGUUGGUACUUGUACCAACUGGAUGAGCAGCGAACGGGUGAGUAACGCGUGGGGAAUCUGCCUUUGAGCGGGGGACAACAUUUGGAAACGAAUGCUAAUACCGCAUAAAAACUUUAAACACAAGUUUUAAGUUUGAAAGAUGCAAUUGCAUCACUCAAAGAUGAUCCCGCGUUGUAUUAGCUAGUUGGUGAGGUAAAGGCUCACCAAGGCGAUGAUACAUAGCCGACCUGAGAGGGUGAUCGGCCACAUUGGGACUGAGACACGGCCUAAACUCCUACGGGAGGCAGCAGUAGGGAAUCUUCGGCAAUGGACGAAAGUCUGACCGAGCAACGCCGCGUGAGUGAAGAAGGUGUUCGGAUCGUAAAACUCUGUUGGUAGAGAAGAACGUUGGUGAGAGUGGAAAGCUCAUCAAGUGACGGUAACUACCCAGAAAGGGACGGCUAACUACGU
rnacentral:rRNA from 1 species